rnacentral:rRNA from 1 species
AAGAUUUAUCGGCAAAGGAUGGGCCUGCGUCUGAUUAGCUAGUUGGUAAGGUAACGGCUUACCAAGGCGACGAUCAGUAGCCGACCUGAGAGGGUGAACGGCCACAUUGGAACUGAGACACGGUCCAAACUCCUACGGGAGGCAGCAGUGGGGAAUAUUGCACAAUGGGCGAAAGCCUGAUGCAGCAACGCCGCGUGAAGGAAGAAGGCCUUCGGGUCGUAAACUUCUGUCCUUGGGGAAGAAGAACUGACGGUACCCAAGGAGGAAGCCCCGGCUAACUACGUGCCAGCAGCCGCGGUAAUACGUAGGGGGCAAGCGUUAUCCGGAAUUAUUGGGCGUAAAGAGUACGUAGGUGGCAACCUAAGCGCAGGGUUUAAGGCAAUGGCUCAACCAUUGUUCGCCCUGCGAACUGGGAUGCUUGAGUGCAGGAGAGGAAAGCGGAAUUCCUAGUGUAGCGGUGAAAUGCGUAGAUAUUAGGAGGAACACCAGUGGCGAAGGCGGCUUUCUGGACUGUAACUGACACUGAGGUACGAAAGCGUGGGGAGCAAACAGGAUUAGAUACCCUGGUAGUCCACGCCGUAAACGAUGAGCACUAGGUGUCGGGGUCGCAAGACUUCG